AUGGCGUCAAGUCCUCAUGGCCCUUACGUCUGGGGCUACACACGUGCUACAAUGGCCGGUACAAAGGGUUCCGAUACCGCGAGGUGGAGGCAAUCCCAAAAAACCGGUCUCAGUUCGGAUUGCAGUCUGCAACUCGACUGCAUGAAGUCGGAAUCGCUAGUAAUCGCUGAUCAGCAGGCAGCGGUGAAUACGUUCCCGGGCCUU
rnacentral:rRNA from 1 species